UGCAAUUGAGAAAGCAGAGCAUGUCGGGUGUGGUUCCUUUGCAGAUGAUCGGGUUGAAGGCACUGUAGUUGAUGAUAUGCAUUCGGGGCUUGAUGCUGGAAGUGCAAUGGGAAGUGAGAAUUCUGGAUAUGUUUGCACCAAUGCUCAUUCGUUCUGCUUUCUUUCGACGUUAACUGGUUAUUUAAGGGAGGAAGAUAAGG
rnacentral:lncRNA from 1 species